AUUGAACGCUGGCGGCAGGCCUAACACAUGCAAGUCGAGCGAGCGGCGGACGGGUGUGUAAUGUCUGGGAAACUGCCUGCUGGAGGGGGAUAACUACUGGAAACGGUAGCUAAUACCGCAUACCAUCAGAUGUGCACAGAUGGGAUUCGCUAGGAGGUGGGGUAACGGCUCACCUAGGCGACGAUCUCUAUGUGUGCUGAGAGGAUGACCAGCCACUCUUGAAUUGAGACACGGUCCAGACUCCUACGGGAGGCAGCAGUGGGGAAUAUUGCAGAAUGGUCGCAAGCCUGAUGCAGCCAUGCCGCGUGUGUGAAGAAGGCCGUCGGGUUGUAAAGCACUUUCAGCGGGGAGGCGUUACCCGCAGAAGAAGCACCGGCUAACUCCGGGCCAGCAGCCGCGGUAAUUC
rnacentral:rRNA from 1 species